rnacentral:lncRNA from 1 species
UCCCAUGGCUCAAUUUUUUUAUUGCUCUACUUGUGCUUCCAAUUUUGCCACUCAUUCGUUCAACUCCACUCCAAAUUCCUUUUCUUCUUAAAGUUCCUUACUUUGUUUAGAAAUGCUGUGGUUAGGCUUGGGACCCCAUCGACUUCCAUGCUGGUAUCUAGAUUUUGGCCAAAAGCUUGAGCCAAGUGCUCCUCCAAAGUCAAAAGAGAACCACUCUCUUCUUGUUGGGUUUCUACCA